UACGUAGGGUGCAAGCGUUGUCCGGAAUUAUUGGGCGUAAAGAGCUCGUAGGCGGUCUGUCGCGUCUGCUGUGAAAACUCAGGGCUUAACCCUGAGCUUGCAGUGGGUACGGGCAGACUAGAGUGCGGUAGGGGAGACUGGAAUUCCUGGUGUAGCGGUGAAAUGCGCAGAUAUCAGGAGGAACACCGGUGGCGAAGGCGGGUCUCUGGG
rnacentral:rRNA from 1 species